AACGAACGCUGGCGGCAUGCCUAACACAUGCAAGUCGAACGAGACCUUCGGGUCUAGUGGCGCACGGGUGCGUAACGCGGGGGAACCUGCCCUUAGGUUCGGAAUAACUCCCCGAAAGGGGUGCUAAUACAGGAUAAUGUCUUCGGACCAAAGAUUUAUCGCCUUUGGAUGGGCCCGGGUUGGAUUCGGUAGUUGGUAGGGUAAAAGCCUACCAAGGCGACGAUCCAUAGCUGGUCUGAGAGGAUGAUCAGCCACACUGGGACUGCGACACGGCCCAGACUGCUACGGGGAGCAGCAGUGGGGAAUAUUGGACGAUGGGCGAAAGCCUGAUCCAGCCAUGUCGCGUGAGUGAUGAAGGCCUUAGGGUUGUAAAGCUCUUUUACCCGGGAUGAUAAUGACGGUACCGGGAGAAUAAGCUCCGGCUAACUCCGUG
rnacentral:rRNA from 1 species